rnacentral:rRNA from 1 species
GACGAACGCUGGCGGCGUGCCUAAUACAUGCAAGUCGAACGCAUUUUCUUUCACCGUAGCUUGCUACACCGACAGAAAAUGAGUGGCGAACGGGUGAGUAACACGUGGGUAACCUGCCCAUCAGCGGGGGAUAACACUUGGAAACAGGUGCUAAUACCGCAUAAUUCCAUUUACCGCAUGGUAGAUGGGUGAAAGGCGCUUUUGCGUCACUGAUGGAUGGACCCGCGGUGCAUUAGCUAGUUGGUGGGGUAACGGCCUACCAAGGCUGCGAUGCAUAGCCGACCUGAGAGGGUGAUCGGCCACACUGGGACUGAGACACGGCCCAGACUCCUACGGGAGGCAGCAGUAGGGAAUCUUCGGCAAUGGACGCAAGUCUGACCGAGCAACGCCGCGUGAGUGAAGAAGGGUUUCGGAUCGUAAAACUCUGUUGUUAGAGAAGAACAAGGAUGAGAGUGGAAAGUUCAUCCCUUGACGGUAUCUAACCAGAAAGCCACGGCUAACUACGUG